AGUGAACGCUGGCGGUAGGCCUAACACAUGCAAGUCGAACGGCAGCACAGUAAGAGCUUGCUCUUACGGGUGGCGAGUGGCGGACGGGUGAGGAAUACAUCGGAAUCUACUUUUUCGUGGGGGAUAACGUAGGGAAACUUACGCUAAUACCGCAUACGACCUACGGGUGAAAGCAGGGGAUCUUCGGACCUUGCGCGAUUGAAUGAGCCGAUGUCGGAUUAGCUAGUUGGCGGGGUAAAGGCCCACCAAGGCGACGAUCCGUAGCUGGUCUGAGAGGAUUAUCAGCCACACUGGAACUGAGACACGGUCCAGACUCCUACGGGAGGCAGCAGUGGGGAAUAUUGGACAAUGGGCGCAAGCCUGAUCCAGCCAUACCGCGUGGGUGAAGAAGGCCUUCGGGUUGUAAAGCCCUUUUGUUGGGAAAGAAAAGCAGCAGGUUAAUACCCCGCUGUUCUGACGGUACCCAAAGAAUAAGCACCGGCUAACUUCGUG
rnacentral:rRNA from 1 species